rnacentral:rRNA from 1 species
GGGGUGCUCGAGUGGCGAACGGGUGAGUAACACGUGAGUAACCUACCCUUGACUUUGGGAUAACUUCAGGAAACUGGGGCUAAUACCGGAUAGGAGCUCCUGCUGCAUGGUGGGGGUUGGAAAGUUUCGGCGGUUGGGGAUGGACUCGCGGCUUAUCAGCUUGUUGGUGGGGUAGUGGCUUACCAAGGCUUUGACGGGUAGCCGGCCUGAGAGGGUGACCGGCCACAUUGGGACUGAGAUACGGCCCAG